GUCGGGAUAGCUCAGCUGGUAAA
rnacentral:tRNA from 1 species